rnacentral:rRNA from 1 species
UUACCUUAAAGAAGCGUACUUUGCAGUGCUCACACAGAUUGUCUGAUAUCUGCGAUAAGCGUCGGUGAGGUGAUAUGAACCGUUAUAACCGGCGAUUUCCGAAUGGGGAAACCCAGUGUGUUUCGACACACUAUCAUUAACUGAAUCCAUAGGUUAAUGAGGCGAACCGGGGGAACUGAAACAUCUAAGUACCCCGAGGAAAAGAAAUCAACCGAGAUUCCCCCAGUAGCGGCGAGCGAACGGGGAGGAGCCCAGAGCCUGAAUCAGUGUGUGUGUUAGUGGAAGCGUCUGGAAAGGCGUGCGAUACAGGGUGACAGCCCCGUACACAAAAAUGCACAUAUUGUGAGCUCGAUGAGUAGGGCGGGACACGUGGUAUCCUGUCUGAAUAUGGGGGGACCAUCCUCCAAGGCUAAAUACUCCUGACUGACCGAUAGUGAACCAGUACCGUGAGGGAAAGGCGAAAAGAACCCCGGCGAGGGGAGUGAAAAAGAACCUGAAACCGUGUACGUACAAGCAGUGGGAGCCUCUUAAUGGGGUGACUGCGUACCUUUUGUAUAAUGGGUCAGCGACUUAUAUUCUGUAGCAAGGUUAACCGAAUAGGGGAGCCGAAGGGAAACCGAGUCUUAACUGGGCGUUAAGUUGCAGGGUAUAGACCCGAAACCCGGUGAUCUAGCCAUGGGCAGGUUGAAGGUUGGGUAACACUAACUGGAGGACCGAACCGACUAAUGUUGAAAAAUUAGCGGAUGACUUGUGGCUGGGGGUGAAAGGCCAAUCAAACCGGGAGAUAGCUGGUUCUCCCCGAAAGCUAUUUAGGUAGCGCCUCGUGAAUUCAUCUCCGGGGGUAGAGCACUGUUUCGGCAAGGGGGUCAUCCCGACUUACCAACCCGAUGCAAACUGCGAAUACCGGAGAAUGUUAUCACGGGAGACACACGGCGGGUGCUAACGUCCGUCGUGAAGAGGGAAACAACCCAGACCGCCAGCUAAGGUCCCAAAGUCAUGGUUAAGUGGGAAACGAUGUGGGAAGGCCCAGACAGCCAGGAUGUUGGCUUAGAAGCAGCCAUCAUUUAAAGAAAGCGUAAUAGCUCACUGGUCGAGUCGGCCUGCGCGGAAGAUGUAACGGGGCUAAACCAUGCACCGAAGCUGCGGCAGCGACACUAUGUGUUGUUGGGUAGGGGAGCGUUCUGUAAGCCUGUGAAGGUGGCCUGUGAGGGUUGCUGGAGGUAUCAGAAGUGCGAAUGCUGACAUAAGUAACGAUAAAGCGGGUGAAAAGCCCGCUCGCCGGAAGACCAAGGGUUCCUGUCCAACGUUAAUCGGGGCAGGGUGAGUCGACCCCUAAGGCGAGGCCGAAAGGCGUAGUCGAUGGGAAACAGGUUAAUAUUCCUGUACUUGGUGUUACUGCGAAGGGGGGACGGAGAAGGCUAUGUUGGCCGGGCGACGGUUGUCCCGGUUUAAGCGUGUAGGCUGGUUUUCCAGGCAAAUCCGGAAAACCAAGGCUGAGGCGUGAUGACGAGGCACUACGGUGCUGAAGYGACAAAUGCCCUGCUUCCAGGAAAAGCCUCUAAGCAUCAGGUAACAUCAAAUCGUACCCCAAACCGACACAGGUGGUCAGGUAGAGAAUACCAAGGCGCUUGAGAGAACUCGGGUGAAGGAACUAGGCAAAAUGGUGCCGUAACUUCGGGAGAAGGCACGCUGAUAUGUAGGUGAAGCGACUUGCUCGUGGAGCUGAAAUCAGUCGAAGAUACCAGCUGGCUGCAACUGUUUAUUAAAAACACAGCACUGUGCAAACACGAAAGUGGACGUAUACGGUGUGACGCCUGCCCGGUGCCGGAAGGUUAAUUGAUGGGGUUAGCGGYAACGCGAAGCUCUUGAUCGAAGCCCCGGUAAACGGCGGCCGUAACUAUAACGGUCCUAAGGUAGCGAAAUUCCUUGUCGGGUAAGUUCCGACCUGCACGAAUGGCGUAAUGAUGGCCAGGCUGUCUCCACCCGAGACUCAGUGAAAUUGAACUCGCUGUGAAGAUGCAGUGUACCCGCGGCAAGACGGAAAGACCCCGUGAACCUUUACUAUAGCUUGACACUGAACAUUGAGCCUUGAUGUGUAGGAUAGGUGGGAGGCUUUGAAGUGUGGACGCCAGUCUGCAUGGAGCCGACCUUGAAAUACCACCCUUUAAUGUUUGAUGUUCUAACGUUGGCCCGUAAUCCGGGUUGYGGACAGUGUCUGGUGGGUAGUUUGACUGGGGCGGUCUCCUCCUAAAGAGUAACGGAGGAGCACGAAGGUUGGCUAAUCCUGGUCGGACAUCAGGAGGUUAGUGCAAUGGCAUAAGCCAGCUUGACUGCGAGCGUGACGGCGCGAGCAGGUGCGAAAGCAGGUCAUAGUGAUCCGGUGGUUCUGAAUGGAAGGGCCAUCGCUCAACGGAUAAAAGGUACUCCGGGGAUAACAGGCUGAUACCGCCCAAGAGUUCAUAUCGACGGCGGUGUUUGGCACCUCGAUGUCGGCUCAUCACAUCCUGGGGCUGAAGUAGGUCCCAAGGGUAUGGCUGUUCGCCAUUUAAAGUGGUACGCGAGCUGGGUUUAGAACGUCGUGAGACAGUUCGGUCCCUAUCUGCCGUGGGCGCUGGAGAACUGAGGGGGGCUGCUCCUAGUACGAGAGGACCGGAGUGGACGCAUCACUGGUGUUCGGGUUGUCAUGCCAAUGGCACUGCCCGGUAGCUAAAUGCGGAAGAGAUAAGUGCUGAAAGCAUCUAAGCACGAAACUUGCCCCGAGAUGAGUUCUCCCUGACUCCUUGAGRGUCCUGAAGGAACGUUGAAGACGACGACGUUGAUAGGCCGGGUGUGUAAGCGCAGCGAUGCGUUGAGCUAACCGGUACUAAUGAACCGUGAGGCUUAACC